UGUAAAUCUGUAUGGUUAUUAAGGUUGGC
rnacentral:piRNA from 1 species